rnacentral:rRNA from 1 species
UACGGAGGAUGCGAGCGUUAUCCGGAUUUACUGGGUGUAAAGGGAGCGCAGACGGAACUGCAAGUCUGAUGUGAAAGCCCGGGGCUCAACCGCGGGACUGCAUCGGAUACUGUAGAUCUGGAGUGCCGGAGGGGCAAGCGGAAUUCCUGGUGUAGCGGUGAAAUGCGUAGAUAUCAGGAGGAACACCGGCGGCGAAGGCGGCUUGCUGGACGGCAACUGACGUUGAGGCUCGAAAGCGUGGGUAGCAAACAGGAUUAGA